AGGGAAGGGAAAAAGUGAAAAGGUUGGGUUUGCAAGGAUGAACUUAUAUAAAGCUGUUGUCGAAACUGUUAUCAAACAUCAAAAGAAUGCGACAGAAGGAGAAGUUCGUGCGUGUACGGCAUCAAUCCUUAAAUAUGCACCUGAUAGAUGUGGAGGAGCGGGAAGAACUAAUGCCGAAGAAAAUUAAAUCGAUUAAUUUUUAAAUAAUUUACAACUUUUAUAUCAGAGAGGAUUAUAAAUUUUUCAAGCGCCGUAAUAAAUUCUUCUAGCUUAUAUUAAUUUUGAUUGGGUGGCAGAAAAUUAGAAUGGCAAAAUGUUAAAGUGAUUUUAGCUCAACAAUUUUUAGUGUUUCUACUAGAGAUCGGACUUGUGACUAGUAAAAGUAUGGAAUAUGCAUGAGUGGGUGCUUUUUUUAAGGAAAUACAGUGCUAAUAUAAUAUUCAUUAUAUUUUUAUUGUAAUUUUCAACCUCGAUUCCUGGACUUCUUGCACCUGGUGAGGACGGUGGCUUUUCACACUUUUUAUAAAGUAUAGCAUCAUGAUCGUAUUUAUUCGCAUCUGGUAUCCUUAACAAACACCCUUGUAUUCAACUCUGACUUCAUUAAGAAAACAUACUUUUUCUCUAACCAAUGCUUGAUUAAAGACUUCGGUGCAACAGUUUUGCUUGACACUUUAGGUGAUUUGAGCAUACUAACAGGCUGCCUUAUCAGGAGGCGUGCCUGGCACAUGAAAUCGCAGCUAUAAAUUUGCAAAUACUGCACGUUUAACAACCUCGUCAUUGCUGCGUUACAUUUUUUGCAUUGGGUUGGAACGCUGGAGAUUCUCACAUAGUACCAGUUGUGAAUACUUGAAAUAUCGUUUUUAUAUUUUGUAUUAUAAAACUCCGUUAAGUUUCAUUUAGGAAGUUUUCAGCGGAGAAGUUGUAUAUACUGCCGAUGUUUAUAAUAAAAAAAUGACAUAUCGUAGAAA